rnacentral:lncRNA from 1 species
GGUGGAUGACGAGGAACGGAUCGCAGCGGCCGUGUACUGCAAUAUCCGGACUGAUAGCUUGUAGGUGGAUUAUUUGAGAGGUUAGAAAUAGUGUCAUAUUUAGGAAGACCCAACCGGAUCCCCUUCAAGCAAUCCAUAAGAUUAAACAGUUGACGAAGUUUUGGGACCAUGUUCUGGCUAGCCGCUUGUAGUUUUUAAACUUUUUUAUUUUUUUUUCGCCCCCCUUGAGGCCGAUGUUGUCUCACCCAUAUAGCCUAGUUCAUUCUAUCAAUAAAUGAAACAUGUAGCGUGCUAUUUUUUCCUUAAAAAAAAAAAAAACAUAUAAU